AAAGUCGUAACAAGGUUUCCGUAGGUGAACCUGCGGAAGGAUCAUUAUUGAAUCCUUAGGAUGUCGCUGCCCUUGCAAAGGGGAUGUGCACUCCGCCUUUCAAUCCACCUGUGCACCUAUUGUAGGGUUAGGGUAACCUGACCCUAUGUUUUUACACACACUACAAGUAACAGAAUGUAAUACAGUAGACCUUCUGGUCGAAAACAUAAUACAACUUUCAACAAUGGAUCUCUUGGUUCUC
rnacentral:misc_RNA from 1 species